rnacentral:tRNA from 1 species
GGGGGUAUAGCUCAGUGGUAGAGCGCUCCCUUAGCAUGGGAGAGGGCUGGGGUUCGAAUUCCCCAUACCUCCA